UGUUUAUUUUCUGCAAUCUAUAAAAGCACACAAUUCAUCCAGAAACUGCAGAAUUGCAGAGGAUUAGAUAGACAUCAUUUUGAAAGUCUUCAUUAUAGCGCAAAGCUCAUUUUUAAUGGUGAGAUAAACUUUUACCUUUCUAUAAUUACAUGACAAUCCUCUUAAGUUGUGCCUGAGGAUCUAGGAUGCAGGUGCCACUGGGGAUAAUUUGUAAUAGGUCACUUUGCUGAAAAGGUGGAAAUACACUUGUAUCUUCUGCUAAUAUAUAGGCUGCUUCAGGGUUCUACUUUCAGGUGUUUUUGAGGUUGUUGAUAUUAAGCGUCAUGGCUAUUUAGUUGCUAUAAAACUAAGAACACCAUUUAACUGGUUUGUGAUAUAGGUAAACACAUAUUUGAGGAAAAGUUUAAGAUCUUUUCUUUGUCUGAAGAUUCAGUUGUCAUACUAAUUAAUGUAUGCAAAUAAAAUCAGAGUUUUAGUAGCCACCGUGCCUCUAACCGUUACAUUAUUUUAAUUAGAAUCAAGCAAUUAAUUCUAAAAAUGUCUCUAUAUUUUUCUGAAAGCAUUGCCCUUCUUUACCAAAAGCUUUAUAUGUCUUCCCAUUUUAUGUUUUAACAUGCUAAAUAAUUAAAAUGUAUGCUUUGCUUCUUACUGGAAUUAAUUGCCCCUCUUUUAGCAUAGGUGGAUUUAAUGUGGCUCUUUGGAAUCAUGUGGCUUUCUAAUUCGUAUGCACUUGUUGACACGUCAUGUUAGAAGACACUGAGUUUUUGUUAUCAUGUUGACAGCUUAAAUCCCACACUGCUGAUUUACAUAACUAUGAAAUUAGCAACAGCCAAUGUCCCUUCUAGCAUUAACUUAUAUUUUUGAAAUAGUUAAUAAAGAUAAUAAAAAUUUCAAAAUGU
rnacentral:lncRNA from 1 species